CAGCAGCCACGGUAAUACGUAGGGUGCGAGCGUUAAUCGGAAUUACUGGGCGUAAAGCGUGCGCAGGCGGUUGUGUAAGACAGGUGUGAAAUCCCCGGGCUUAACCUGGGAACUGCGCUUGUGACUGCACAGCUAGAGUAUGGCAGAGGGGGGCGGAAUUCCACGUGUAGCAGUGAAAUGCGUAGAGAUGUGGAGGAACACCGAUGGCGAAGGCAGCCCCCUGGGCCAAUACUGACGCUCAUGCACGAAAGCGUGGGGAGCAAACAGGAUUAGAUACCCCCGUAGUCCCUGUCUCUUAUAC
rnacentral:rRNA from 1 species